UACAGAGGUCUCAAGCGUUAGGCGGAAUCACUGGGCUUAAAGCGUGUGUAGGUGGGUUUGUAAGUACCUUGUGAAAUCCCAUGGCUCAACCAUGGAACUGCUGGGUAUACUGCGAAUCUUGAGCUGUCUAGAGGUUACUGGAACAAACGGUGGAGCGGUGAAAUGCGUAGAUAUCAGGAGGAACACCGAUGGCGAAGGCAGGUCUCUGGGCCACUACUGACGCUGAGAAGCGAAAGCAUGGGGAGCGAACAGG
rnacentral:rRNA from 1 species